GGGUGUGUUCUUUCCUCUCUCUUCUCUCUCUUAUUUUACGUUUGUUUCUUUCAUUGAGGAUAAUGCAUAUUUUAAGUGUGGGGGAGGGAAUACUUUAUUUUCUUUGUUUUUGUUUUUUGUUUUGUUUUGUUUUUGUUUUCUUUCUAUAAAAAAUUGCAUCUUCUUGAAAGUUUUAGGCUAUAGAUUACUUUGAGUCGAGUUUGCGGAGACUUGGGAAAAAUUCACAAGAUCGGUAUUGUUUUAACACUGUAAGUCUCCUUCAUAUGGAAAUUGAGUUGAAUUUUUAUUAUGUUUUAGCCUUAAAUUCUCAUUCUCUGACAGCUCUUGAGUAGUUUAUUUCAGCAGUCAGC
rnacentral:lncRNA from 1 species